rnacentral:lncRNA from 1 species
GGAUCAAAUCUUCAGAAUGUAGAUUCAACCUUCAUGUAGGCUUGAAACUACAGGCCCUAUACCUCGCAUGCACGCCAGGCAAUGCAGGAAAGUAGGAUGAAUCUUAGGAUUGAUGCACCUUCGCAAGGCCACCAAAAAAGAAAGAGAGGUGCUGGUGUGACCCUUCACACCAACAAAGGGGAUGCCCAAGAAGGGCCCACACCAAGAGGAAGAGGGGGCG